rfam:Lama glama prion protein (PrP gene) gene, partial cds.
CCAGGGAGGGGGCGGCUGGGGUCAGCCCCACGGAGGAGGCUGG